UUUUUUUCAUAAAUUAGGCCGUUUGUUUUCUCGUUUGCAUUGUUUUACAUUUGUCAUUUCGGGGCCUUUUUUAGCUGACUAUGCGGUAUGGGCUUUGUUCAUUGUUGAAGGCCGUACGGUGACCUAUAAUAGUUGUUAAUUUCUGUGUCAUUUGGUCUCUUGUGGAGAGUUGUCUCAUUGGUAAUCAUACCACAUCUUCUUUUUUUAUACAUACAUUAAUUUCUGUUAAACAUUGCACGUUCGAAAAUUGGACAACAAAUUUGUUAUCAAACAAACUUGAUUUUCGACUGAUAUGAAGAGCUACAGCCGGUUUUGGAGUACUUUGAAACGUAAAACGAGGACCAUUAAAAUUCAUGAAAACCAGAC
rnacentral:lncRNA from 1 species